GACGAACGCUGGCGGCGUGCUUAACACAUGCAAGUCGAGCGGUAAGGCCCUUUCGGGGGUACACGAGGCGGCGAACGGGUGAGUAACACGUGGGUGACCUGCCUUUAGCUCUGGGAUAAGCCUGGGAAACCGGGUCUAAUACCGGAUAUGACUCCGCGGCGCAUGUUGUGGGGUGGAAAGCCUUGUGCGGCUGGAGAUGGGCCCGCGGCCUAUCAGCUUGUUGGUGGGGUGAUGGCCUACCGAAGGCGACGACGGUAGCCGGCCUGAGAGGCGACCGGCCACACUGGGACUGAGACACGGCCCAGACUCCUACGGGAGGCAGCAGUGGGGAAUCUUGCGCAAUGGGCGAAAGCCUGACGCAGCGACGCCGCGUGAGGGAUGACGGCCUCGGUUGUAA
rnacentral:rRNA from 1 species